CCCCUUCGGGGGUACUCGAGUGGCGAACGGGUGAGUAACACGUGGGUGAUCUGCCCUGCACUCUGGGAUAAGCCUGGGAAACUGGGUCUAAUACCGGAUAGGACCUCGGGAUGCAUGUCUCGUGGUGGAAAGCUUUUGCGGUGUGGGAUGGGCCCGCGGCCUAUCAGCUUGUUGGUGGGGUGAUGGCCUACCAAGGCGACGACGGGUAGCCGGCCUGAGAGGGUGACCGGCCACACUGGGACUGAGAUACGGCCCAGACUCCUACGGGAGGCAGCAGUGGGGAAUAUUGCACAAUGGGCGCAAGCCUGAUGCAGCGACGCCGCGUGGGGGAUGACGGCCUUCGGGUUGUAAACCUCUUUCAGUAUCGGCGAAGCUCCGAGGUUUUCUUCGGGGUGACGGUAGGUACAGAAGAAGCACCGGCCAACUACGUGCCAGCAGCCGCGGUAAUACGUAGGGUGCGAGCGUUGUCCGGAAUUACUGGGCGUAAAGAGCUCGUAGGUGGUUUGUCGCGUCGUCCGUGAAAACUCACAGCUUAACUGUGGGCGUGCGGGCGAUACGGGCAGACUUGAGUACUGUAGGGGAGACUGGAAUUCCUGGUGUAGCGGUGGAAUGCGCAGAUAUCAGGAGGAACACCGGUGGCGAAGGCGGGUCUCUGGGCAGUAACUGACGCUGAGGAGCGAAAGCGUGGGGAGCGAACAGGAUUAGAUACCCUGGUAGUCCACGCCGUAAACGGUGGGUACUAGGUGUGGGUUUCCUUCCUUUAGGGAUCCGUGCCGUAGCUAACGCAUUAAGUACCCCGCCUGGGGAGUACGGCCGCAAGGCUAAAACUCAAAGGAAUUGACGGGGGCCCGCACAAGCGGCGGAGCAUG
rnacentral:rRNA from 1 species